UGGAGAGUUCAUAUCGAUAAAUGUGUUUGCGACCUCGAUGUUGGAUUAAAUUUAAUUGUGGGGUAGGUUUUGCAAUGUUAGGUCUGUUCGACCUUUAAAAUUUUACAUGAUCUGAGUUCAAAUCGGCGUGAGCCAGAUUGGUUUCUAUCUUUUCUUUAUUAAAUUUAAUUAGUACGAAAGGACUUUUAUGAUUGUAAUAUUUAUU
rnacentral:rRNA from 1 species